CCUUCCUUUAUACUCUAAUUCUCUACACAAGUUAUGGCUGUGCGUCUUUCUCGGUAAAUUAUCCCAACAUCAUCAUUGUUUUAUUUAAUUUCAUCACGUUUGCAGAAGUAGAGUCAAGGAGCUUGUUUGAUGGCGGAGCUCCCGGGAUGGUGCAGGUGGUAAAGAAGGUCAAGUCUAGGAGGUUUUUCUAAAAUGGAAGCAGGAGUUACUAAUCGCUCGCGAUGUCGGACUUUCUUUUAUCAUUGUAAACAUUCAAAUACCACUUGUUAUUUUAUGCAUCUAGAUUAGUGCAUCAAAUAUGUAAUUAGAACGGGGUAUUACAGUAUUUAAA